ACAUGGCUGUGAUGAUAAACACUUUCAGCAAACAUGCCAGUUCUGCUUCUGACAAUUCAUGACUGAAAAACCUGUUAAUACAAUAUCUGAGCCGUUG
rfam:Triticum aestivum genome assembly, contig: Triticum_aestivum_CS42_TGACv1_scaffold_306882_4AS